GAUGAACGCUGGCGGCGUGCCUAAUACAUGCAAGUCGAACGUGAUCCUCAUUUCGGUGAGGUGAAAGUGGCGCACGGGUGAGUAACACGUAGCUGACCUGCCCUUCAGUGGGGGACAACGGGUGGAAACGCCCGCUAAUACCGCAUACGCUCUCGGCAGCCAGACAACCGAGAGGAAAGCUUUAGUGCUGAAGGAGGGGGCUGCGACCCAUCAGCUAGUUGGUAGGGUAAAAGCCUACCAAGGCGACGACGGGUAGGGGGCCUGAGAGGGUGACCCCCCACACUGGGACUGAGACACGGCCCAGACUCCUACGGGAGGCAGCAGUAAGGGAUAUUGCGACAAUGGACGCAAGUCUGACGCAGCAACGCCGCGCGAGGGAUGACGGCCUUCGGGUUGUAAACCUCUUUUCUGUGGGAAGAGACAGGACGGUACCACAGGAAGAAGUCACGGCUAACUACGUGCCAGCAGCCGCGGUAAAACGUAGGUGGCAAGCGUUAUCC
rnacentral:rRNA from 1 species